AGUCCCCCCUCUCUCCCUCUCUCUCUCUCUCUCUCUCUCUCUCUCAUCUGAUCGUUUGCGCUUCGCGGACGCGCAGUCUUUCAAGUAAAACUAGCUAGCAGCAGCAGCAGCUUCUUCACAACCUUCUCAGGGUUGGGGAUUAAUUAUCUUGAUUCAAUCUUUUCUCUUUCUUUUUAAUCGUCGGAACAAGUGGUGAUAUUUAGUUUUCCUCCAUACACACUCCCAUGGAGAUUCCCGGGAAGAGGGUCUUGCUCACCUCCAAUGGCGAUGACAUUUCUCUCAACCUCGCCCGCCAUUUAGCCCGUCGCGGUUGCCGGCUGGUUUUGAUGGGGAAUGAGACCCAACUGAAGCUCGCAGCCCACAAGAUUAAAUGUUCGCUCCCCGACGUCGUCACGCCGGAGGUGGUCGGACUGGAUAUGGAAGACGAUAGUGAAGCCGUUUUCGAUGUCGCGGUGGCCAAAGCCUCCACUAUUCUCGGUUUCUUCGAUGCUUUAGUCCAUUGUUAUUCUUAUGAAGGUGAGAUGCAAAAUCCUCUGGAUAUAGCCGAAGGGGAAUUUAAAAAGACAGUAAAAGUCAAUUUCCUAGCUGGCUGGUACUUGUUGAAAGCUGUUGGCAAGCGAAUGCGGGAUCACAAAUCUGGAGGUUCUAUUAUAUUCUUGACUUCAAUUGUGGGGGCUGAAAGAGGUCUAUAUCAAGGAGCUGCUGCAUAUGGUGCCUGUUUAGCUGGCGUACAGCAGCUAGUGAGGACAUCUGCAAUGGAGAUUGGGAAGUACCAAAUCAGGGUAAAUGCUAUUGCUCGUGGUUUGCACCUUCAAGAUGAGUUUCCGGUGUCAGUGGGAAAGGAGAGGGCAGAGAAGUUGGUCAAAGAAGCAGCACCGCUGCACAGAUGGCUGGAUGUAGAAAAUGAUUUAGCUUCCUCUGUCAUAUAUUUGAUUAGCAACGGCUCACGCUAUAUGACCGGGACUACCAUAUUUGUCGAUGGUGCACAGUCCCUGGUGAGGCCUCGAAUGCGAUCUUACAUGUGAUGUGAAUAGGUGAAGAAAACCCAAUGUCUGGUAUUGGUUUUGUGGUCAUGAUGUUGUGAUUGCCUACUACUUAAGAAACUCUUUUUUUAUUUGGGGCUAAAUUCCUAAUAUUCAGAAACUUGGAAACUUUAUAGUGCAAAGCAGGAGGCGUAGCAUCAUCUUCUCAUCGUUUCCGGACAUUCCUCACAAACACGAUGAAAUGAUCAAGGCAAUGGAAAUUGUGACAGUCGCAGGCUUGUAGCAAAUGCUCAUGAUUCUUAUAGGCAAGUAGCAAGCAUAAUACGACAACUUCCCCAA